rnacentral:SRP_RNA from 1 species
CAGGGGGCUAGGCUGGGCGGCUGGGCCUCGCCUGUAAGCGCAAACGGUCCUCAUGGCGCGGCCGAAGUCCCGAAGGCGGUUACUCACUGUAGUAUGGUCCACUUUCACUUUGAUGAAACAUCGUCCCUUAGGAUGCAACAAGCAGUGAACCCGGUCAGGCCCGGAAGGGAGCAGCCGUAAGCUGCUUGUUGCAUGCUUAAGGGGGUGCGGUGUGGAGAAGAGAAAGUGGGCGACCAUCCUAUGGUGAGUUUAUCCACUUCGGGACGUGCCCCCUG